AAAACUGCAAUUUUUUAGAGCAAUAAUUAUGUUUUGUGUGUUACCAACAGCAAUCUUUAGUAAAUUGGUUGCAAAUCAACCUGAUGAGACUGUUGACUGAUACUUUUAUGAUUAUAUAUGAUGUAAGUGAAGUUGAAUCUAUUGUAUAUAAUGCCUUGUCAUGUCAGAAGCCACUAGAUUUUAAUUGUUAUUAAGCGUCAUAAAUCAAUUUUUUAAAUUUUGAUUCUAUUGAAAAAUAUUUUACUGUGACAAAACAAGCAAGUGCUGGUGGAAGACAAUAACUAUUAGCGUUGCAACCAGAGUUGCUUAGUGCUAAGCAACUCUUUACAAUGAUUUACAAACAUUAAAAAGGGAUCUGCAAAAAAAGUGUGGCAUUCCUAGCCCAGGAUAACUACUUUUUAGGCUGGAUUCUAAAGCUCAAUAUAACUAU